GGAAGUUAAGAAACUGUUUUUUAAAUUUUAACUAAAAAACCUAAGAGCCGGUUCUUAAAUAAAGAUUUUAAGAACCGGUUCUUAACUUUUUUAGUUAAAAAUUAAAAAACAGUUUCUUAACUUAC
rfam:Brassica napus, WGS project CCCW01000000 data, contig: 8072